UCCCGGGUCGUCUAAGGGCAAGACGGUGUCUUUUGGUGUCACUUAUGGGGGUUCGAGUCCUCCCCCGGGAGCCA
rnacentral:tRNA from 1 species